rnacentral:rRNA from 1 species
CAACUUUCAGCAAUGGAUCUCUUGGCUCUCGCAUCGAUGAAGAACGCAGUGAAUCGCGAUAUGUAAUGUGAAUAGCAGAUCUACAGUGAAUCAUCGAAUCUUUGAACGCACCUUGCGCUCCUCGUUGUUCCGAUGAGCAUGCCUGUUUGAGCGUCAGUA